CAACUCGCCUGCACGAAGUUGGAAUUGCUAGUAAUCGUGGAUCAGCAUGCCACGGUGAAUACGUUCCCGGGUCUUGUACACACCGCCCGUCACACCAUGGGAGCCGGUAAUACCCGAAGUCAGUAGUCUAACCGCAAGGAGGACGCUGCCGAAGGUAGGAUUGGCGACUGGGGUGAAGUCGUAACAAGGUACC
rnacentral:rRNA from 1 species